rnacentral:rRNA from 1 species
UACGUAGGGUGCAAGCGUUGUCCGGAAUUAUUGGGCGUAAAGAGCUCGUAGGCGGUCUGUUGCGUCGGCUGUGAAAACCCGGGGCUCAACUCCGGGCCUGCAGCCGAUACGGGCAGACUAGAGUUCGGUAGGGGAGUCUGGAAUUCCUGGUGUAGCGGUGAAAUGCGCAGAUAUCAGGAGGAACACCGGUGGCGAAGGCGGGACUCUGGGCCGAUACUGACGCUGAGGAGCGAAAGCGUGGGGAGCAAACAGG